GUUGAUUAAAAACAGCAAUCGCCGGGAGGCCGUGAUGAGGCUUCUCCUAUUUGAUUUUUUUUUUUUUUACCAACCACCGUCGGUUGUGGCCGUGGUCGAGGUUGCCACUAUGGCUGUCAGGGGGCAUCAUCAUAGAUCACCGAUCCUAGGUUCCUCCACUCGAGAGCUUGGGAGGAAGAGAGGAAGAAGGGGGAGCAGUCCCUGUUUGAGAAGAAGAAGAAGGGAGAGAGUGUGUUUUCU
rnacentral:lncRNA from 1 species